rnacentral:rRNA from 1 species
AGAUUGAACGCUGGCGGCAGGCCUAACACAUGCAAGUCGAACGGUAGAGUAGCAAUACUUGAGAGUGGCGAACGGGUGAGUAAUAUAUCGGAACGUGCCCAGUCGUGGGGGAUAACGUAGAGAAAUUUACGCUAAUACCGCAUACGAUCUAAGGAUGAAAGCGGGGGACCGUAAGGCCUCGCGCGAUUGGAGCGGCUGAUAUCAGAUUAGGUUGUUGGUGAGGUAAAAGCUCACCAAGCCGACGAUCUGUAGCUGGUUUGAGAGAACGACCAGCCACACUGGGACUGAGACACGGCCCAGACUCCUACGGGAGGCAGCAGUGGGAAUUUGGACAAUGGGCGAAAGCCUGAUCCAGCAAUGCCGCGUGCAGGAAGAAGGCCUUCGGGUUGUAAACUGCUUUUGUACGGAACGAAACGGUCUGACUUUAAUACAGUGGCUAAUGACGGUACCGUAAGAAUAAGCACGCUAACUACGUGCCAGCAGCCGC